rnacentral:misc_RNA from 1 species
CGCAAAUUGCGCUCUUUGGUAUUCCGAAGAGCAUGCCUGUUUGAGUGUCAUAUAGCCCUCACCCUGACAGUUUCUUGACUGUCUGUUUGGUGGUUUGGACGUCUGCCAGCCUCACGGCCCUCGGCUCGUCUUAAAUGCCUUAGUGGAAUUUGAAGUGAUUAAGUCUUCGCUUUUGAAUGUUCCACUCUAAGCCCCCCUUUUAUGACUCUGACCUCAAAUCAGGUAGGACUACCCGCUGAACUUAA